rnacentral:rRNA from 1 species
GAUGAACGCUGGCGGCGUGCCUAAUACAUGCAAGUCGAGCGAACAGACGAGGAGCUUGCUCCUCUGACGUUAGCGGCGGACGGGUGAGUAACACGUGGAUAACCUACCUAUAAGACUGGGAUAACUUCGGGAAACCGGAGCUAAUACCGGAUAAUAUAUUGAACCGCAUGGUUCAAUAGUGAAAGACGGUUUUGCUGUCACUUAUAGAUGGAUCCGCGCCGCAUUAGCUAGUUGGUAAGGUAACGGCUUACCAAGGCAACGAUGCGUAGCCGACCUGAGAGGGUGAUCGGCCACACGGGAACUGAGACACGGUCCAGAAUCCUACGGGAGGCAGCAGUAGGGAAUCUUCCGCAAUGGGCGAAAGCCGGACGGAGCAACGCCGCGUGAGUGAUGAAGGUCUUCGGAUCGUAAAACUCUGUUAUUAGGGAAGAACAAAUGUGUAAGUAACUAUGCACGUCUUGACGGUACCUAAUCAGAAAGCCACGGCUAACUACGUG